GUGCUCGCUUCGGCAAAACAUGUACUAAAAUUGGAACGAUACAGAAAAGAUUAGCAUGGCCCCUGCACGAGGAUGACAUGCAAAUUUGUGAAGCGAUCCGUAUUUUA
rnacentral:snRNA from 1 species